UGCACAUACAUACAAACACACAUCUCAAAGUAUUUAUCUAAAACUUGAAAAAGCAUAACCACCGUGACUGAAUCUAAAGCAAAACAAAACCAAUAAAAACUACUUAGCUGUUUUUUCUAAACUUCUAAUUUAACUCUCAUUUACAGAUGAAGGAAUUGAAGUCUAGCAGUGCUACAUGGAAUUUUUGAGCAUGGCACACAUACAAAUGUUCUCCAAAGCAAACCAAGAAAACAGAAAAUUGAUGGUUGGGGCCUGGGAUCAUGAUUCUACAGUAUAAUCUACUAUGCUGCCAUUUAAUAAGACAGGAGCAACUGCAGCAUCCUCAAAGAAACAAAAGUAUUCAAGAUCUCUCAUACAUUAAUUUGGGCACUAUUGAAAGGAGAAAAAAAGUGGACUUGGUGAACCAUUUGAUGCCAUGAACUGUAUAUGAUCAUAAACUCUGGCCUGUACCUAGCAAAGUAGAUAGUGCAAGAGAAAUGUCAAUAUUAAAUUCAGGCUCACAACAAAGGAGAAUGCUGACAGCAUGCAGCCUGAUGUGAGCACAGAGACACUUGAAAGUUUUUUGCUUCAUGAUAUGGACACUUUGAUUUUCUCUUCUCAUAGAACAGUCAUUUUCAAAGGUGGAACAAUGGACCAAGCAUAAGGGUGAAGGGAAGUCUGUGUCUAUCUCCAUGCCUCAAGCUCAUGCCUGUACUACUUCCUGCAGUUCAGGUGAAUGGUUUCUACAAGCAGCAAGAGUGAGUGUCAGAGCAGAAAAGGAAUGGGCAUUUUCUGUGAGGGUGAAUUAUAAGGAAUGAACUCAGGUCUUCAGUAAGAAGCUUUAGCAACUGAGCUAUCCCUGUCUUUCCCAUUUCUUGACAGUUCUGGAUUGCUGUUGUGUGUCAAGAUUUUACUGGGGAGAGGAUACACAUAUCUACUCACAGCUACUUUCCUCUGAUACGGAGCCCAGGAUGGACUAAAGUACAACUUGAUGAAACAGUCUCAUGUUUAAAAGAGUCCCUAUCUUGUGAUGGUAGCACUGUCUUCAAGGGGGAGAGGCAGGACAAAUACGGACAAGGACAAGUCAGGUCAUGGGCAUUUGAUUCAUGAGAACCUUACUCUCAGACCUCAGGGAUCUCAACAGGCUUCUCCAAGCAACAUUUCUGUUCAUGGGGACAAACCUCACAGAGCUGCCACACUCGAUGAAUUUUUAUCAAAUAGCACAUAAAUAAAUAACAAUCUGUGAGCCUGCAUAGCUCUCAGUGACUUGUGUGACCCUUAUUGCUCCCAUUUUACUUGACUCUCCUGAUGUCUUUCCCAAGGCACAGAAGGGGGAAGUGUCUUUGGACACCACAGGUACUAAGUGAUACGCCUGUUUGCCUAACCUCAAGUGACAAAGUGCUGGUCCUCAUAUAUCACAGACUUGCCCAGGGAGGAUUAGGUCACACUGGCCAGGGGUUUUGCUAAUAAGAUCAUGCAUAAUCAAUAAGGGUCAGCUGACAUCUUGUCAACUCCAUCACUGUCAAUGGGGCGGGGGGUGAGGUAAGGCAGUGACAAGGGUAAGCCUGUCAGACACCCAGAACAUGAACAGAUGGCCAGCAUUGGUUGCUGCCCUGCUAUGUAAAGCUGGCUCUUAGAGCAGAAUAGGUUCAUGCAUUCAUUCAUGGAUUCGAUCCUUUGUCUAUUCCACAGAUAGCUAUGGAUGUGUCAGGUAGAAUUGGUAGUGUUAUUGCAGGAGAGAAGGUAUGACAGAGAACAGGACCUUGUGCAUUUAGAACGUCUACAUUUUACAGGGCAUGAUGACAGGGAGAAAA
rnacentral:sRNA from 1 species